rnacentral:rRNA from 1 species
UACGUGGGGGGCGAGCGUUGUUCGGAAUUAUUGGGCGUAAAGGGCGCGUAGGCGGUCGGAUAAGUCUUGUGUGAAAUCUUCGGGCUCAACUCGAAGUCUGCACAGGAAACUAUCUGGCUUGAGUGUGGGAGAGGUGAGUGGAAUUCCUGGUGUAGCGGUGAAAUGCGUAGAUAUCAGGAGGAACACCUGUGGCGAAAGCGGCUCACUGGACCACAACUGACGCUGAGGCGCGAAAGCUAGGGGAGCAAACAGG